CUCCUACGGGAGGCAGCAGUGGGGAAUAUUGCACAAUGGGGGAAACCCUGAUGCAGCGACGUCGCGUGAGUGAAGAAGUAUUUCGGUAUGUAAAGCUCUAUCAGCAGGGAAGAAAUAGCGACCUUUGGGUCGCCAGACGGUACCUGACUAAGAAGCCCCGGCUAACUACGUGCCAGCAGCCGCGGUAAUACGUAGGGGGCAAGCGUUAUCCGGAUUUACUGGGUGUAAAGGGAGCGUAGACGGCGAUACAAGUCUGAAGUGAAAGCCCGGGGCUCAACCCCGGGACUGCUUUGUAAACUGUGUUG
rnacentral:rRNA from 1 species